rnacentral:rRNA from 1 species
AGAGUUUGAUCCUGGCUCAGGACGAACGCUGGCGGCGCGCUUCAUCCAUGCAAGUCGAACGAACCCGAGACUUCGGUCUCAAUGGGGAAGUGGCGAACGGGUGAGUAACACGUGAGAAACCUACCCCGGAGAUGGGAAUAGCCCAAGGAAACCUGGAUUAAUGCCCAAUACCCUGCCUGCACCUCAUGGUGCGCUCAGGAAACGCUCCGGUGCUCCGGGAGGGUCUCGCGGCCUAUCAGCUUGUUGGUGAGGUAACGGCUCACCAAGGCAUCGACGGGUAGCUGGUCUGAGAGGACGAUCAGCCACACUGGGACUGAGACACGGCCCAGACUCCUACGGGAGGCAGCAGGAGGGAAUAUUGCGCAAUGGGCGAAAGCCUGACGCAGCGACGCCGCGUGGGGGAAGAAGGCCUUCCGGGUCGUAAACCCCUUUCACGCAGGGACGAAAUUGACGGUACCUGCAGAAGAAGCGCCGGCCAACUACGUGCCAGCAGUCUCGC